UUAGAUUUUCUUCAUUUUCUUCUGGAAUUUUUCAGAGAUACUUGUUGUUGAAAGUUGAUAGAGAUGAUAUGAAGAUGAAAAAGAGGAGAAA
rnacentral:pre_miRNA from 1 species